rnacentral:rRNA from 1 species
AUUGAACGCUGGCGGCAGGCCUAACACAUGCAAGUCGAGCGGAUGACGGGAGCUUGCUCCUUGAUUCAGCGGCGGACGGGUGAGUAAUGCCUAGGAAUCUGCCUGGUAGUGGGGGACAACGUUUCGAAAGGAACGCUAAUACCGCAUACGUCCUACGGGAGAAAGCAGGGGACCUUCGGGCCUUGCGCUAUCAGAUGAGCCUAGGUCGGAUUAGCUAGUCGGUGGGGUAAUGGCUCACCAAGGCGACGAUCCGUAACUGGUCUGAGAGGAUGAUCAGUCACACUGGAACUGAGACACGGUCCAGACUCCUACGGGAGGCAGCAGUGGGGAAUAUUGGACAAUGGGCGAAAGCCUGAUCCAGCCAUGCCGCGUGUGUGAAGAAGGUCUUCGGAUUGUAAAGCACUUUAAGUUGGGAGGAAGGGCAGUAAGUUAAUACCUUGCUGUUUUGACGUUACCGACAGAAUAAGCACCGGCUAACUCUGUGCCAGCAGCCGCGGUAAUACAGAGGGUGCAAGCGUUAAUCGGAAUUACUGGGCGUAAAGCGCGCGUAGGUGGUUUGUUAAGUUGGAUGUGAAAGCCCCGGGCUCAACCUGGGAACUGCAUCCAAAGCUGGCAAGCUAGAGUACGGUAGAGGGUGGUGGAAUUUCCUGUGUAGCGGUGAAAUGCGUAGAUAUAGGAAGGAACACCAGUGGCGAAGGCGACCACCUGGACUGAUACUGACACUGAGGUGCGAAAGCGUGGGGAGCAAACAGG